rnacentral:lncRNA from 1 species
UUCUCUUUUUUUGUUAUUGCAUUAGAUGUUUCACUACAGCAAUCCUUCCUCUUCUGAUAAUAGAUGCGUUGCUCCGUAACGAUUGCCAUCCAUCGGCAAUAAUAUGCCAACGCUCUGACGAGUCACAUGUGUCACCAUCCUUUGCCUCCGGACCUAUUUAAUAUUAUUUAUAAUUAUCAUAAAUAUUGAUUAUCUAAUUAUAUUUAUUGAGAUAAUUUUAUGUUAAUUAGUUGAGGUUAAAUAUUUUGGAUAAUCUUAUUAUAUAGUUUCUCUUAAUUUAUUUUUUUCAUUCGCAAGAGUUUC